rnacentral:tRNA from 1 species
GCCUGGCUGGCUCAGUCAGUUGAGCAACUGACUUUGGCUCGGGUCAUGAUCUCACGGUUCGUGGGUUCGAGCCCCACAUCUGGCU